rnacentral:piRNA from 1 species
UCCUUCAGUUUAUUCGUGCACUGCUGCAAG